AUUUUAGCUCGCAAAUCGAUAACCUCAAUCAAGUAUAGAAGAAUUAGUAACAAAAAAAAUAAAUGUAACACACAGCAGGAAAGUAUAAGAUAUUGCACUAAAUUGUACAGGAAAAUGCUAUGACAAACAAUAGAAUAAAUUGGCUUGAUAAUACUACAUAGAUAUAAUCACGGUUCAAGAAAAAGCAGAAGCGUGCGAAACGAACGAAGCUUCGAAGAGGAAUGCUACACUACGCUACAAAUCGACGCACUCGCUCACACAACGACGUGUCUGAUUGGUCGAAAUGAGAGGACGCCAACAUGGGACGACCAAUCACUGCCUUUGAUAGAAGUUUCAAAGUGCUUCGAAACUUUAAUAGUAAUCGUAAGGGAAAGUCGAAGCUUCGAGGAGGAAUGAUGCACUACGCCACACGCUGCGCACCUCACUCUCCAACGAUGAAUCUGGUUGGUCGAAAUAAGAGGAGACUGUAAUGGGACGACCAAUCAUAGCCAUCAGUAGAAAUUUCAAGUUGCUUCGAAACUUUAAUACUAAUCGUAAGGAGAGGUUAGUGAUGCUGUAUAGGCGUCACAUACGAUUUUAACGAUUAUUGUCAUUUAUUAUUGUUGCAUGUAUUGAAUAAUUGCUUUUGGAUAACAGUUCAUAAACUAUUUACUUUGAUUAUAUCUAACUUUUAUGUUGAUUGAGAAUGAAUAGUGAUCUCGGUACACUCAAAUGCGCCAAAACGAUGACGACAUAUAUUACUUAAAAUUAAAUGAAAAAGAGUUUCAAAGUA